rnacentral:rRNA from 1 species
AUACGGAGGGUGCAAGCGUUAAUCGGAAUUACGGGGCGUAAAGCGUGCGUAGGUGGUUUGUUAAGUUAGAUGUGAAAGCCCCGGGCUCAACCUGGGAACUGCAUUUGAAACUGGCAUACUAGAGUAUAGGAGAGGAAAGUGGAAUUUCAGGUGUAGCGGAGAAACGCGUAGAUAUCUAAAGGAACAUCAAUGGCGAAGGCAGCUUUCUGGACUAAUACUGACACCGAGGUACGAAAGCGUGGGUAGCAAACAGGAUUAGAAACCCCAGUAGUCC